UACGUAGGUGGCAAGCGUUGUCCGGAAUCACUGGGCGUAAAGCGCGCGCAGGCGGCGAUCUACGUCUGGGGGUGAAAGCCCGGAGCUCAACUCCGGGACUGCCUUGGAUACGGGAUCGCUUGAGGAUUGGAGAGGCAAGGGGAAUUCCACGUGUAGCGGUGAAAUGCGUAGAUAUCUGGAGGAACACCGGUGGCGAAGGCGGCAUCCUGGACCAACACUGACGCUGAGGAGCGAAAGCCAGGGGAGCAAACGGG
rnacentral:rRNA from 1 species